UUUAAUAUGGCAGAAUUAGUGCAAUGAAUUUAAAUUUCAUUUAUAAAGUUUUAUAAACUUUUAUUAAAA
rnacentral:tRNA from 1 species